AAACAGAGAAGCGAACUGCUGUUUAUUACGCGUUAUUUUCCUGUGUAAUUGGUCGAUUGCCGCAUGAUAUCUUCGCUUGUGACACAACUACCCAAAAUGGGACUGUUGCAAAGAGGGACAGGUGGUAACCCUAACCUGUUCGAUAACAUUGGUUUACAUUAAUACAGUUAAACUGUAUAGCUACAUGGCUCACCAUCAUCUGCCACCAGUUCCUCUCCUUGUUCACCAUGCCUACCGGACUCACUGUUACCCCUCCAAGCUCAGUCCAACCAAUGUAUAGGAGUGAUGAGGAGACUGAAGAAGCUGAGGCAACAUUUUGAAUUUUGAGUCUGAAUAGCUUUAUGACCUUAAUGGAUGUGAAAUAAAAAAAC